UCCCUGACGGUUUAGUGGUUAAGACUCUGUGAUCCCACUGCAGGGGGCCAGGGUUCAAUCCCUGGUCAGGGAA
rfam:TPA: Bos taurus chromosome 20, whole genome shotgun sequence.